rnacentral:rRNA from 1 species
UACGUAGGGUGCGAGCGUUGUCCGGAAUUAUUGGGCGUAAAGCGCGUGUAGGCGGUCUCGCAAGUCGGAUGUGAAAGCCCAGGGCUCAACCCUGGAAGUGCACUCGAUACUGCGAGGCUAGAGUCCCGGAGAGGAUGGUGGAACUCUCGGUGUAGAGGUGAAAUUCGUAGAUAUCGAGAAGAACACCGGUGGCGAAGGCGGCCAUCUGGACGGUGACUGACGCUGAGACGCGAAAGCGUGGGGAGCAAACAGG